rnacentral:lncRNA from 1 species
CCAAAACAAAACCACUUAACCCAAAAUACUCCGAAAGACCCUUCCGUUGCAUACUUCACAACUUUUCAAAUUCCAUAAGUUCUUAACUGCGUCGAAUCUCACUCCAACCAUUCAUUCGGUAGCACAACUUCUACACUCAUUUGUUGUCCAACUUCUCAAAGUUCUUAACACAUUCCAAAAAUAUAUUAACUCCAACCGUCAAAU